rnacentral:rRNA from 1 species
GACGAACGCUGGCGGCGUGCUUAACACAUGCAAGUCGAACGGAAAGGCCCUGCUUUUGUGGGGUGCUCGAGUGGCGAACGGGUGAGUAACACGUGAGUAACCUGCCCUUGACUUUGGGAUAACUUCAGGAAACUGGGGCUAAUACCGGAUAGGAGCUCCUGCUGCAUGGUGGGGGUUGGAAAGUUUCGGCGGUUGGGGAUGGACUCGCAGCUUAUCAGCUUGUUGGUGGGGUAGUGGCUUACCAAGGCUUUGACGGGUAGCCGGCCUGAGAGGGUGACCGGCCACAUUGGGACUGAGAUGCGGCCCAGACUCCUACGGGAGGCAGCAGUGGGGAAUAUUGCACAAUGGGCGGAAGCCUGAUGCAGCAACGCCGCGUGCGGGAUGACGGCCUUCGGGUUGUAAACCGCUUUCGCCUGUGACGAAGCGUGAGUGACGGUAAUGGGUAAAGAAGCACCGGCUAACUACGUG